rnacentral:lncRNA from 1 species
CACAACAAAUCUUUUCCCUUUAAACAAUUAUUUAAUACAAAGUCAAAAGGUAUACAUUUUUAACAUGUGAGAACUUUUUAUUCUAAAAAUAUGUGAGCUAAGCUAUGUAGUUUAAUAGGCAUUAUGCCGCAUAAAUGAAAUGAAAUAGAAAACAGUGUAGUAAAGGAAAUUUCAUGAUGAAAAAAUGAAAUUUUGAGAUGCCAACG